AGAAAGAAAGAUAGAGAGAGAGAGAGAGAGAGAGAGAGAGAGAGGGUAUCGUCUCACUGUAGUUUGCUGACCUCCAGUAGAGAGGAUGAUGCAAUAAAAGAGAGAGAGAGAUGCAAUAAAAGAGAGAGAGAGAAAGAGAGAG